rnacentral:tRNA from 1 species
GCCUGGGUGGCUCAGUGGUUGAGCGUCUGCCUUUGGCUCAGGGGGUGGUCCCAGAAUCCUGGGAUCGAGUCCCACAUCGGGCA